GAUGAACGCUGGCGGCGUGCCUCAAACAUGCAAGUCGAGCGAGGCUAUGAAUUACCGCAAGGUAAGGCAUAGCCUAGCGGCGAACGGGUGAGUAACACGUGGGUAACCUACCUGGAAGACAGGGAUAACGAUUCGAAAGGGUCGCUAAUACCUGAUAAUAUCCAUCUGCCGGAUGGCGGAGGGAAGAAAGGGGAAACCCGCUUUCAGAUGGGCCCGCGUCCCAUCAGCUAGUUGGUAAGGUAAAGGCUUACCAAGGCGACGACGGGUAGCCGGUCUGAGAGGAUGUACGGCCACACUGGGACUGAGAUACGGCCCAGACUCCUACGGGAGGCAGCAGUUGGGAAUCUUAGGCAAUGGACGAAAGUCUGACCUAGCGACGCCGCGUGAGGGAAAAGGCCUUCGGGUUGUAAACCUCUGUCAUGGGGGAAGAAGGAAGUGACGGUACCCAAGAGGAAGCCCCUGCUAACUACGUG
rnacentral:rRNA from 1 species